rnacentral:rRNA from 1 species
GAUGAACGCUGGCGGCGUGCCUAAUACAUGCAAGUCGAGCGAACAGAUAAGGCUCUUGCUCCUUUGACGUUAGCGGCGGACGGGUGAGUAACACGUGGGUAACCUACCUAUAAGACUGGGAUAUCUUCGGGAAACCGGAGCUAAUACCGGAUAACAUUUUGAAUCGCAUGGUUCUAAAGUGAAAGAUGGUUUUGCUAUCACUUAUAGAUGGACCCGCGCGGUAUUAGCUAGUUGGUAAGGUAACGGCUUACCAAGGCGACAAUACGUAGCCGACCUGAGAGGGUGUAGGGCCACUGAGAAGGUGAGAGGCGAUCCAGGGACUUAGGGGAGGCAGAAGCAGCGAAGGGAGGGAGAUGGGCGAAAGACUGAACGAGGAGCGCAAGGUGGGUGAAGCAGCGUUGCGGCUGGUAAAACUGUGUUAUUGGGGAAGAACAAGUGUGUAAGUAACGGAGCACGUCUUGACGGUACCGAGACAGAAAGCCACGGCUAACUACGU